CAGAGGCGCCAUCCACGCCUCACGAAAAAGACGAGGAGCCGCCGCAGACGAAGCUCCCGCUGCCUCCAGGGGAACGCCACCUCCAAGGGAUAUUCCGGUCCUCCCCAGUGUUAGGGGAGAGAAGGAAUACAAGGGAGAAGAGCAUAUGGAGGCGCGGUCCCGGAUCAAGCACCUGGUGCGGAGCUCAAUCGGGAGGCCGAACUUCAAGGAGGGGAGACGUGAUCCCGGAUGAAACGCCUAGAGCGGACUUCCGCCGGGGAGAACCUCCUUGUUGAUCCCAGAUGAAACGGCUAGUUGGCGGAAGUCGCGAAGGGCGCGCCUCCCGUUCCUUCGGUAGGGGUCUCUCAACCAUGCGCCGGAGAGGAGGCCCACGAUCCAUGGCAACCUGAACAGCUCCGGCUUGGCAGGCUCCAUC
rnacentral:lncRNA from 1 species